ACAGUCGGCCGGCUUGUCGCUGGUACUUCGGUACAAGAGGAAAGUCCGGGCAACACAGAGCAUCCUACUUCCUAACAGAAAGCUAUCCGCGAGGGUAGAGCCAUGCAGAAGAAAAGAACCGCCUCCUCCGGGAGGUAAGGGUGAGAAGGUAGGGUAAGAGCCUACCAGCCGUAUAGCGAUAUGCGGGCUGUGCAUCUUAGGAGUUGUAAGGUCAUGUAAACCGGCACUAACGAGGGUUGCUCGCCCCACGUCGGAGGGUGGACCGCUAGAACCGUCUGGUAACAGGCGGUGUAGAUAAAUGACAGGCUCCCCUGCUUGCAGGGAGACAGAACCCGGCUUAUAGGCCGGCUGUUAUU
rfam:Bacteroides sp. CAG:714 genomic scaffold, scf1